CCUACGGGAGGCAGCAGUGAGGAAUAUUGGUCAAUGGACGAGAGUCUGAACCAGCCAAGUAGCGUGAAGGAUGACUGCCCUAUGGGUUGUAAACUUCUUUUAUAUGGGAAUAAAAUGUUCCACGUGUGGGAUUUUGUAUGUACCAUAUGAAUAAGGAUCGGCUAACUCCGUGCCAGCAGCCGCGGUAAUACGGAGGAUCCGAGCGUUAUCCGGAUUUAUUGGGUUUAAAGGGAGCGUAGGUGGAUUGUUAAGUCAGUUGUGAAAGUUUGCGGCUUAACCGUAAAAUUGCAGUUGAAACUGGCAGUCUUGAGAACAGUAGAGGUAGGCGGAAUUCGUGGUGUAGCGGUGAAAUGCUUCGAUAUCACGAAGAACACCGAUUGCGAAGGCAGUUCACUGGACUGCAACUGACACUGAGGCUCGAAAGUGUGGGUAUCAAACAGGAUUAGAUACCCCUGUAGUC
rnacentral:rRNA from 1 species